GUUAACAUUUAUCAAACCUCCCCCAGACUAGACAACAUACUUAAACAUGUAUGUAUAAAUUUGGAUCAUCUAUAAAUGCAAGUGGGCAUGCGUUGGUGUUGCACGUUUAUAAAACAAGCCCAAAAUUGCAUAAUAGAGGAUUAGGAUGGCAAAUCAUCGAGAAACAGAAGAUAGGAUAUGUGAGCAAAACUCUUUAUCAGAUUGAUGGCAGAGAGUU
rnacentral:misc_RNA from 1 species